rnacentral:rRNA from 1 species
GGCUAUCACUUCUGGAUGGACCUGCGGUGCAUUAGCUUGUUGGUGGGGUAAUGGCCUACCAAGGCGAUGAUGCAUAGCCGAGUUGAGAGACUGAUCGGCCACAAUGGGACUGAGACACGGCCCAUACUCCUACGGGAGGCAGCAGUAGGGAAUCUUCCACAAUGGGCGCAAGCCUGAUGGAGCAACACCGCGUGAGUGAAGAAGGGUUUCGGCUCGUAAAGCUCUGUUGUUAAAGAAGAACAUGCGUGAGAGUAACUGUUCACGCAUUGACGGUAUUUAACCAGAAAGUCACGGCUAACUACGUGCCAGCAGCCGCGGUAAUACGUAGGUGGCAAGCGUUAUCCGGAUUUAUUGGGCGUAAAGAGAGUGCAGGCGGUUUACUAAGUCUGAUGUGAAAGCCUUCGGCUUAACCGGAGAAGGGCAUCGGAAACUGGCUAACUUGAGUGCAGAAGAGGGUAGUGGAACUCCAUGUGUAGCGGUGGAAUGCGUAGAUAUAUGGAAGAACACCAGUGGCGAAGGCGGCUACCUGGUCUGUAACUGACGCUGAGACUCGAAAGCAUGGGUAGCGAACAGGAUUAGAUACCCUGGUAGUCCAUGCCGUAAACGAUGAGUGCUAGGUGUUGGAGGGUUUCCGCCCUUCAGUGCCGGAGCUAACGCAUUAAGCACUCCGCCUGGGGAGUACGACCGCAAGGUUGAAACUCAAAGGAAUUGACGGGGGCCCGCACAAGCGGUGGAGCAUGUGGUUUAAUUCGAAGCUACGCGAAGAACCUUACCAGGUCUUGACAUCUUGCGCCAACCCUAGAGAUAGGGCGUUUCCUUCGGGAACGCAAUGACAGGUGGUGCAUGGUCGUCGUCAGCUCGUGUCGUGAGAUGUUGGGUUAAGUCCCGCAACGAGCGCAACCCUUGUUACUAGUUGCCAGCAUUCAGUUGGGCACUCUAGUGAGACUGCCGGUGACAAACCGGAGGAAGGUGGGGACGACGUCAGAUCAUCAUGCCCCUUAUGACCUGGGCUACACACGUGCUACAAUGGACGGUACAACGAGUCGCGAACUCGCGAGGGCAAGCAAAUCUCUGAAAACCGUUCUCAGUUCGGACUGCAGGCUGCAACUCGCCUGCACGAAGUCGGAAUCGCUAGUAAUCGCGGAUCAGCAUGCCGCGGUGAAUACGUUCAGGGGCCUUGCACUCACCGCCCGUCA